rnacentral:tRNA from 1 species
GCUUGGCUGGCUCAGUUGGUAGAGAGUGAGACUCUUGAUCUUGGGGCCAAGGGUUCGAGCUCCCUGUCAGGUG